CGUCUCAGAGGAGGUAGUGGCAGCACAAAUGUUCAUAUUACAGGAACCCUCUGAGAUAUUUCACAACAUUGAGAGGAUACAAUAUUGGAUGCAGAUCCAAGCUUAGAAAGAAAUAUGGCAAUUCACCAAGGUGUGAUCGCUCUGUAUUGUAAGAUAUACAAUGAGAAGAAGGUGGGACUGUUCACAGUAGUUCUGAUGUGUUUUACAAAGAAGCAUGAUACUUUAAUUCUCAGUGUUGCCAGUUUUAAAUUACACUGUACUAGAUAAAUAUUAGUUUCACUAUUCUUUUUUAUUUACUGCUACAUUUAUCGAUGACAGCAUCAUUUUUUAAUGUUUAGACAAAAUUUUUAAAGGCCCUGGAACAAUUUUAAUAGUUCCCAUUGACUAUUAAGAUCCCUUUUCACAAUUUCAGCUUGCACAGUCAUUUUUAUGGUCCCUCACUACCAUGUAAAGCAAAAGUGAAGGCCAUAUUAUAGAUGUAUAUAAUUUGACUUUUGGCAAUAAAAAAAAUUUACAGUUUUAAAAAUCACUAAGAAGUUCCCAUUGUGGCACAGUGGAACGAAUCCAACUAGGAACCAUGAGGUUGUGGGUUCGAUCCCUGGCCUCACUCAGUGGGUUAAGGAUCUGGUGUUGCCGUGAGCUGUGGUGUAGGUCGAAGAUGAGGCUCAGAUCCUGUGUUGCUGUGGCUGUGGUGUAGCAGACAGCUGUAGCUCCAAUUCAACCCCUGGCCUGGGAUCCACCAUAUGCCACAAGUGUGGCCCUAAAAAGCAAAAAAAAAAAAAAAAAAAAAAAAAAAAAAAAAAAAAAAAAAAACUCUGAGAAAAUGUUUCAGCUCUAUUACGGAGUGUUACCAAAUUAGGAAAUGAGUAAUUAGUGACUGUUUUUGGAAUAGUGUCAUGGAAAGAGAACAUGUCAGACCAGUUAAUGUGCAAGAGUCAACAGCUUCUUCUCACAUCAGACUCUUCUGCAUCCUAGCGAUGAUGCAUAUUUCCCAAUGCUAAGGCUAUGGGGAGUCAUGACCCUAGAUACAUUAUUACUCUCUAAAUGUGUCUCAAAUCUAUCUACUUGUCUCCAUCUCUUUCUUGCUUCUACAUGGACUCCUUUUUCUAACUUGCAUGAUCUUCCAUCCCACCUCAGUUGGGCUAGGGAACUAGAGAGUUCAAACCCCUCCUCUGUGAAUUCUUUGAGGUUCACCAAACCCCUACCUCUCUCCACCACUGCUGUACCACCUAGAGCACUACAACCUAUCUUCAGUGUUGUGAAUACUCAUUUGCAUGUAUUUGCACUGGGUUGCUGAUAUUCUGGUUUGUGUGCAUUUGUCUUUGUAUUUGCAGUGACACAUUGUAGGUAUGUAAUACAUGAUUUUUAAAUGAAUACAUCACUAAUGCUGUAUAAAUUUAAUUUACUAUGCCGCCUUUAAUAAAGAUUUUUCUUUCAAACUUUCUCUAGUUUCAUGACUGCCUAACAUAAGAGUUAAAGGAAAGCUUGAGAUGAAAGACUUUGUUCACUGAUGAAAAAAGUCAGAUUUGACCAGUAGGAUAUCUUUGAAGACAACAUGUAAACUGUGAGCCAUUUUCUCCCAAGGUUUGUAAAACAAUGAGAAAAAAAAAAAUACUAUCAGAUUUAAAACUUUUUGCCCAGGGUUUAAAUUCAUUAAUGUUUAUAAUGAUUUGAUGAACACAGAGAGAGCAUUGAUUUUGGAUUCCGACUGACCUGAAUUGAAAUCUAGCUUUGUCACUUACUAGUUGAGUGAUCGCAGAAGUGGGACUUCAUUUCUUAUUUAUUAAAUAGGAUGGAGGGGGCAGUAAAUGACAUCUGUCUCCAGGAUUGCCAGAGAUGAAUUAUAACAUCUGCACAUACAGCACCACCUAGUGUCGUGCAGUUGAAAUGUGCAUACCAAACAUUUAUCUCUUUCCUCCACUUCUUUUUUUUAGAUUGCAAUCCUGUUUGUUUUCAGUAUCAGUGCGGUAUAUUAUCAAUUUUUGAAAUAAAUAAUCUUUUAAAGCAUUUGAAUUAUGUCAAUAAGAAUCAUCUAUUUUCUUUUUUAACUGAAGUGUAAUUGGUUUAAAUGUACUGUUUUCUGAUGUACAGCAAAAUGUUUAAGUUUUAUUUGUGUGUGUACUCUUUUUCAGAUUCUUACCCAUUAUAGGCUAUUACAAGACACUGAAUGUAUUUCCCUGUUGUUUACCUUUUAUAUAUAGUAUUUAUUAGUCCUAAUCGCUUCAUUUAUGCCCCCCCAACAAACACUAUCCCCUUUGGUAACCAUCAAUUUGUUUUCUAUAUCUGUAAGUCUAUUUCUGUUUUGUAAAUAAGUUCAUUUAUAUCAUUUUUUAGAUUCCACAUAUAGGUGAUAUUUGUCUUUCUCUGUCUGGCUUCACUUAGUAUGGUAAUCUCUAGAUUUAGCCAUGUUGCUAAAAAUGGCAUUAUUUCAUUUUUUUCUUUAUGGUUGAGUAAUAUUCCAUUAUAUAUAUUUACCACAUCUUCUGUAUCGAUUCAUCUGUCAAUGGACAUUCCAGUUGCUUCCAAGUAUUGGCUAUUGUAAAUAGUGCUGCUAUGACCAUUUGGGUGCAUGUAUCAUUUUGAAUUAGAGUUUCUCCGGUUACAUGCUCAGGAGUGAGAUUCCUGGAUCAUGUGAUAAUUCUAUUUUUGGUUUCUUAAGGAGUCGCCAUACUAUUCUCCAUUUAUAUUCCUUUCUCCAGACCCUCUUCAACAUGUAUUAUUUGUAGUCUUAUUGAUGAUGGCCUUUCUGGUUGGCAUGAGGUGAUAUCUCAUUGUAGUUUUAAUUUUCAUUUCUCAAGUAAUUAGUGAUUUGAGCAUCUUUUCAUGCUUUUUGUUUGUUUUUUGGCCAUCUGUCUUCUUUGGAGAAAUGUCUAUUUAGGUCUUCUAUCUGUUUUUUAAUUGCUCUGCUGUUUUUUGAUACUGACCUACAUAACGUGUGUAUAUUUUGGAAAUUAAGUCCUCAUUGGUUGCAUAACUUGCAAAUAUUUUCCCCAAGGAAUCAUCUGUUUUCUGAGAGUUUUUAAUCUGUAUUCAACCCUUGAUUACUUAUUUGUAAACUGGCCAUAAAAAAUAUAAAAACCACAGGCAUACUUUCUUUUGUCCCAAGUAAUUAUUAGCUAUUAUUUCUUCACAUGUGUAUAAGCCUUCACUGCCAGAUUAUGUGUUUUUGAGGACUGAAACCUGUUGAUUUUAUUGCCUGAUUUCAAACAGUCGAGUAAAAUAAAUAUUGGUUGAAAUCCAUGUAAUCCUAUCAAAGUAAUAAGGAGUUCUUUAUAAAAGGAGUUUUUAAAUAUUAAUUUAACUUUUAAGGUUGAACUUGGUAAAAUUAAGUCCUGUCUCCUGUGUAUGGCAAACUUACAACACUUCUUAUGAUAAGCAGAUGAACACUGUUUAAUCCACAAUGUGUUAAAUUUUACUACUCAUAAACCAAACAGCUGUGAAUAAAAGUAUGUGUGUUGCAUUUUAUAUUAUAUGUAUACAUUAAAACCAAUGCUUAGGUUUCAGUUUAUAUUGUUUUAUGUAUUUAUUUCAUUUUAAUUUUUACCUGCCAAGAUUUUUGCAUGUGACUGAGAUCUAAGCAACAGUGGAAAAGGAGAGAGGGGUUGAUCAUAGGAGUCACCACUAGAUGGUGCCAGUUGUCUAGUUUAUAAAUUUAAGCAGCCAUUUUCUCGAAAGUUUGUUUCUCCCUUUUCUUCAGUGUUUUUCAAAUACAAUAUCUAAUCCAAUGGUAAUUGUCAGUGAAACUGGAGCUUAUAAAUUGUUAAAAUUGUAAUAUUUCAGUUUAAAAAAAUAAAAAACCCUUCCUCU
rnacentral:lncRNA from 1 species